UACAGAGGUCUCAAGCGUUGUUCGGAUUCAUUGGGCGUAAAGGGUGCGUAGGCGGCGCGGUAAGUCGGGUGUGAAAUUUCGAGGCUUAACUUCGAAACUGCAUUCGAUACUGCCGUGCUAGAGGACUGGAGAGGAGACUGGAAUUUACGGUGUAGCGGUGAAAUGCGUAGAUAUCGUAAGGAAGACCAGCGGCGAAGGCGGGUAGCUGGGCCAACACUGACGCUGAUGUGCGAAAGCUAGGGGAGCAAACGGG
rnacentral:rRNA from 1 species